rnacentral:rRNA from 1 species
GAUGAACGCUGGCGGCGUGCCUAAUACAUGCAAGUCGAGCGAACAGACGAGGAGCUUGCUCCUUCGACGUUAGCGGCGGACGGGUGAGUAACACGUAGGUAACCUACCUAUAAGACUGGGAUAACUUCGGGAAACCGGAGCUAAUACCGGAUAAUAUUUCGAACCGCAUGGUUCGAUAGUGAAAGAUGGCUUUGCUAUCACUUAUAGAUGGACCUGCGCCGUAUUAGCUAGUUGGUAAGGUAACGGCUUACCAAGGCAACGAUACGUAGCCGACCUGAGAGGGUGAUCGGCCACACUGGAACUGAGACACGGUCCAGACUCCUACGGGAGGCAGCAGUAGGGAAUCUUCCGCAAUGGGCGAAAGCCUGACGGAGCAACGCCGCGUGAGUGAUGAAGGUCUUCGGAUCGUAGAACUCUGUUAUUAGGGAAGAACAAACGUGUAAGUAACUGUGCACGUCUUGACGGUACCUAAUCAGAAAGCCACGGCUAACUACGUG